CUGUAGUCGAGGGGCAGCAGGACUGUAGCAAUACAGUUGCUGGCGACCGGCAAACGGGUGCGGAACACGUACGCAACCUUCCUUCAAAUGAGGAAUAGCCUUUCGAAAGAGAGAUUAAUACCUCGUAACAUUUUCUGGUGGCAUCACCGGAUUAUUAUAGCCCCGGCGUUUGAAGAUGGGCGUGCGCCUGAUUAGGUAGUUGGCGGAGUAACAGCCCACCAAGCCUACGAUCAGUAACUGGUGUGAGAGCACGACCAGUCACACGGGCACUGAGACACGGGCCCGACUCCUACGGGAGGCAGCAGUAAGGAAUAUUGGUCAAUGGACGCAAGUCUGAACCAGCCAUGCCGCGUGGAGGAUGAAGGUCCUCUGGAUUGUAAACCUCUUUUAUCGGAGAAGAAACCCUUAGAUUCUUCUGAGGUUGACGGUACCCGAUGAAUAAGCACCGGCUAACUCCGUGCCAGCAGCCGCGGUAAUACGGAGGGUGCAAGCGUUAUCCGGAUUCACUGGGUUUAAAGGGAGCGUAGGUGGGGUGGUAAGUCAGUGGUGAAAUCUCCGGGCUUAACUCGGAAACUGCCGUUGAUACUAUCAUUCUUGAAUAUUGUGGAGGUAAGCGGAAUAUGUCAUGUAGCGGUGAAAUGCUUAGAUAUGACAUAGAACACCGAUAGCGAAGGCAGCUUGCUACACAAUUAUUGACACUGAGGCUCGAAAGCGUGGGGAUCAAACAGGAUUAGAUACCCUGGUAGUCCACGCCCUAAACGAUGGAUACUCGACAUACGCGAUACACAGUGUGUGUCUGAGCGAAAGCAUUAAGUAUCCCACCUGGGAAGUACGACCGCAAGGUUGAAAC
rnacentral:rRNA from 1 species